rnacentral:rRNA from 1 species
UAGAACCUAAAUUGAAAAAUCUUGAUUAGUAUUAGUUAUGUUCUUAAAAAUUAAAAAAUUUGGCGGUAUUUUAUUCAAUUCAGAGGAACCUGUUUUUUAAUUGAUAGUCCACGAUAAGAUUAACUUAUUUUUUUAGUUUGUAUAUCGUUGUUUAGAAUUUCUUUUUUGAGAUAAUUUUCAAUUGUUUAAAUUUAAAUAGACUUCAGAUCAAGGUGCAGCUUAUAAUUAAGAAUUAAUGGGUUACGUUAAAAUUAUAUUUGGUUAUUUAUUUUUAAUUUUAAAUAUAAAUAGGAUUUGAAAGUAAUUAAAAGAAUUUUCUUUUUAUGACUAAUGUUUUAAAAUAUGU